UCUGACGACCUCCUCGGCAGUGCAUUGAUCCGACAAGGAAGUGAAUCCACAGAUGUCGGCGAACAGAAUGCUGGAAAACGAUUACAAAGAUGUAUUCUUCUUUUAGGUUAGGUUCCGCAGACAAGGGAUCUUGAAGUUUCAAGCUUCCCACUGAGAUUUCAAGAAAGAUAUUUAAAGUGUAUCUUUAGAGAGGAAUAUUUCGAUUUCAACAUUGUAUUUCAUUAACAUGCAGUGCACAAGCCUUCCGACAAGCUGAUCUGUCGGUAUUAACAGGUACAUACCGCUUUGAAUUCUCUUUGGUAUUUGUACCAGCUGGUUAAUUAACCAUGUUGUUAUGUUGGAAACUUGCGGUGAAUCUAAUAAAUCCGUACACUCAAGACACCAUUCAUCUCGUCGUUUGAUUAUUAAAGAAUUUCUAACUUCCUUGAAUUUUAA